rnacentral:rRNA from 1 species
AUUGAACGCUGGCGGCAUGCUUUACACAUGCAAGUCGAACGGCAGCGCGGGCUUCGGCCUGGCGGCGAGUGGCGAACGGGUGAGUAAUAUAUCGGAACGUACCCAAGAGUGGGGGAUAACGUAGCGAAAGUUACGCUAAUACCGCAUACGAUCUAAGGAUGAAAGCAGGGGACCGCAAGGCCUUGUGCUCCUGGAGCGGCCGAUAUCUGAUUAGCUAGUUGGUGAGGUAAAGGCUCACCAAGGCAACGAUCAGUAGCUGGUCUGAGAGGACGACCAGCCACACUGGAACUGAGAAAGGGGCCAGACUCCUACGGGAGGCAGCGGUGGGGAAUUUUGGACAAUGGGGGCAACCCUGAUCCAGCAAUGCCGCGUGAGUGAAGAAGGCCUUCGGGUUGUAAAGCUCUUUUGUCAGGGAAGAAAAGGUCGUGGCUAAUAUCCACGACUGCUGACGGUACCUGAAGAAUAAGCACCGGCUAACUACGUGCCAGCCGCCGCCGUAAAAC